AGCACGAGACUGGCAACUUACUUACCUUGCUCUGCAAAACAAGAAUCUGUUGAGCCCGACCCCUCCAGGUCCCUGGCGAGGAUAAGAGCUGCUGUAUGUUCACAUCUUCCCCCACCUCACUGACCAAAACCUGCAAGAGUUACUUCUGAGACUCACAGAAGAUUGGCAUUGAAGGGAUUCAUGGAUGGCCCAUUCGGAACCUUCCAUCAGUAAUGAAAAGAAGGUGCAGAGAAGGUGAAGUAGCUUGUCUUAAGGUACAGAGCUGGUUGAAGGUUCUAUCCAUCGAAGGAUCAGAACCCUGGUGCUGCUGCUGCCCUGGCUGGUUCCCCUGGCAGAAGCAGUUGCUCAUGUUCAGCAUCAUGGCAACAGGAACAUCCCAUCAGGCAAUGAUGCUGCCACUGUCUGCUCUGACCCCUUGUGCACAAACCAGGAGGGCUGGGCUUCUGGCAAGAGACAGGUCCUGAGUAGUUUUCUGAUCUUUCCUUUGCCAGCACACACAAAAUCUGUAACUGCCAGUGUGAAGGUCAGAUCCCAAUGGACGGGGCCUGAGAAGUUGCAUGGACCUCAGAGGCCCUGGCCAGCCUAGCUGAAAACCACUGGUCUAAGAGACCAGAGCCAGAAAACUGUCCAAAAUCAGCAGCCUGUCUGCAAAAAAGGGGAAGCUUCCUCACAGCACCACCAUGAGGAAAAACAGAAAAACUAAAGUGAACAGAAUCUGCAAACUGGGAACUGAUGAGAGACACAAGUGUACCAUUCACACACACACACACACACACACACACACACACACACACACACACACACACACACUUUAGGUGGCAGUCUUCCUGUCUUGCUGCUUCCCAUUUCUUCUAUCAUAAAUGUGGGGCUUUGGACCUGCCUAGGUUGGGUAACCACUCUGUCCAUCAUAUCUUGGUCCCGUGAGCCCCUCCAAUCGAGAGGGGCUGGUAUGGCAGUGGUGGGAGUGUCUGAGUGUACCUCACAACUGUCAUAACCUGCUCAAAGCCUGAAGAGAGCACAUAUAUUGGGCCUGUGUCUAGAGCCUAGACAACGGCCCCUAUCUCUGAGCCAACUCCAGGAGACCAGUGAGUGUUGACAGAACAAGGCAUGGGGGUCCUGGGGCAGAUUCCAACAGAGGUCAUGCUGGCAGACGGGAAGCUAAUGGAGGUUUCUGAGUGCCAAAUGGUUUUCGGGUGAGGGCAGGGCCCAGGUGCAUGAGGGGCUGUCACUCCUCCUGCCCUGCCAUGCCCCAGAACCCCUUCCUGGAUAGCUCACCAGAGGGAAAUUCCACAGGCUUUGUGGGGGACUGAGUUUGGUCUGCCUUCUUUGAGGGAAUAACUGAAAGGCAACCCGUGGGGCACAGACAUGCCAGUGCGCAUGCCAGGGCCCAGAGCUGCACAGGAGGGAGGCUCUCAGCUCUGCUCUGGAAUGUGCUUUGGCCUCUGCAGUGCAGCUGGUUUCUGGCCACCCCAUUCCCAGGAGGGGGUGUGGCUUUUGUCCUCUCUCUUCAGAAGGUGUCCAGGAGAACACAGUGUGCUGCUCAUGAACUGAGAUUUGCAGCCCAUAACUAUCAUCCACGCUUUGACCAGACACCUGCGACUCCUGGUGGUCACAGAAUAAAGCUGAAAUUCCUGCUCCAGCAGCCAUUCAAGGAUCCCCCUGUUGGUGAGCCCAUCCCAGCUCUGUUUUGGCUUACACCCCCUUUCUCCCUUGUGGGCUGCAGGCAAAUGCUACCCAAUGGAUACCCAGCAAGCAGACAGAACAGGAACAGUGAGGGCAUUCCCCCCUUCCUCCUCCAGUGAGGUUCACUGCAAGAGCACCCCCUCCACGCCCACUGUCCAGCUGCCUGGGGUUAGGGGAGCAUCUGCCUGUUGUACUCAGAGCCUAGGGCUCCCUCAAAAGGCCCUGCCCCAACUUCCUUAAACAUGGCUAAGCCUUCCUUAAAAAUGGUGGACGGGGUACAGGUGGUAGUGCAGCAGGUUAAGUGCACAUGACACAAAGAGCAAGGAUGGGCUUAAGAAUCCUGGUUUGAGCCCCGGCUCUCCACCUGCAGGGGAGUCACUUCACAAGUGGUGAGGCAGGUCUGCAGGUGUCUAUCUUUCUCUCCCCCUCUCUGUCUCCCUCUCCUCUCUCCAUUUUUCUCUGUCCUAUCCAACAACGAUGACAACAAUAACAACAACAUGUUAGGUGGAAAACUAAGAAAUGUUAUGCAUGUACAAACUAUUGUAUUUACUGUCUAAUGUAAAACAUUAAUUCAAUAAAGAAAUAAAAAAAACAA